rnacentral:rRNA from 1 species
GAUGAACGCUGGCGGCGUGCCUAAUACAUGCAAGUCGAGCGAACAGACGAGGAGCUUGCUCCUCUGACGUUAGCCGCGGACGGGUGAGAAACACGUGGAUAACCUACCUAUCAGACUGGGAUAACUACGGGACAGCGGAGCUAAUACCGGAUAAUAUACUGAAGCGCAUGGUUCAAUAGAGAAAGACGGUUUUGCUGUCACUUAUCGAUGGAUCCGCGCCGCAUUAGCUAGUUGGUAAGGUUACGGAUUACCAAGGCGACGAUGCGUAGGAGACCUGACAGGGUGGUCGGCCACACUGGAACUGAGACACGGUACAGAGUCCUACGGGAGGGAGCAGUAGGGAAUCGUGCGCAAGGGGCGGAAACCUGACGGAGCAACGCCGCGUGAGUGAUGAAGGUCUUCGGAUCGUAAAACUCUGUUAUUAGGUAAGAACAAAUGUGUAAGUAACUAUGCGCGUGUGGACGGUACCUGAUCAGAGAGCCACGGCUAACUACGUG